CAUCGCGAGGUGGAAUCUGAAGGAAGCCGGAGGCAAACCGCUGAUCCGACGAAUAGGAAUCGCAUCAGGCAUUCAGAGGUGGGUAAGUCUGCAACACAAGAUGAAGCCCGAAGCUACACGGAACCGAAGGUGUAAAUGCGGCGGAUACAUGGCGGGAAAGAAC
rnacentral:ncRNA from 1 species